rnacentral:rRNA from 1 species
UAACACGUGGGGAUCUACCCAAUGGUACGGAAUAACCCAGGGAAACUUGGAUUAAUACCGUAUGUGCCCUUCGGGGGAAAGAUUUAUCGCCAUUGGAUGAACCCGCGUCGGAUUAGCUAGUUGGUGAGGUAAAGGCUCACCAAGGCGACGAUCCGUAGCUGGUCUGAGAGGAUGAUCAGCCACACUGGGACUGAGACACGGCCCAAACUCCUACGGGAGGCAGCAGUGGGGAAUAUUGGACAAUGGGCGCAAGCCUGAUCCAGCCAUGCCGCGUGAGUGAUGAAGGCCUUAGGGUUGUAAAGCUCUUUCGCCGGUGAAGAUAAUGACGGUAACCGGAGAAGAAGCCCCGGCUAACUUCGUGCCAGCAGCCGCGGUAAUACGAAGGGGGCUAGCGUUGCUCGGAAUCACUGGGCGUAAAGCGCACGUAGGCGGAUCGUUAAGUCAGGGGUGAAAUCCUGGAGCUCAACUCCAGAACUGCCCUUGAUACUGGCGAUCUCGAGUUCGAGAGAGGUUGGUGGAACUCCGAGUGUAGAGGUGAAAUUCGUAGAUAUUCGGAAGAACACCAGUGGCGAAGGCGGCCAACUGGCUCGAUACUGACGCU